rnacentral:rRNA from 1 species
AAACGUUUUCUGCAUCCAGGAUUAGCCUAAAUCCUUUGGGAUAAGGUAUCAUGGAGGGUGAGAAUCCCGUUCAUGGUUAAUCUUAAGGAAGCUCUACGAUACGUUUUCCAAGAGUCGAGUUGUUUGGGAUUGCAGCUCAAAAUGGGAGGUAAAUUCCUCCUAAGGCUAAAUAUUGGCGAGAGACCGAUAGCGAACAAGUACCGUGAGGGAAAGAUGAAAAGAACUUUGAAAAGAGAGUUAAACAGUACGUGAAAUUGUUGAAAGGGAAACGAUUGAAGUCAGUCAUACCAACGGGAAAUCAACCUUUUGAGCUUGGUUUCGUGGGUUUUGAAGAGUUUCAAAGCCUUCGGAUUCGCGAGAUUGGGAUCUCUUGGUGUACUUUUUCGUACGGUUAGUCAACAUCGGUUUUGAAUGUCAUAAAAUGACUGGAGGAAUGUAGCUUCGAUCUCGUAUUGAAGUGUUAUAGCCUUUGGUAGAUGUGAUGUUUGAGACCGAGGAUUGCAACGGAUACCCUUUAGGGCUAUUCGUCUGAUCUCUGAUACGUUGCCCUGAUGUUGAAAGCUUGC